UCACGCUAUGCCGCCCCACCACAGCGCGCUCACCGCGCCGCAUCUUUCUCCUCCUCCUGCAUCGCGCUCCGCGGCCCUCACCGCAUUGUGCUCGCUGCGCCGCAUCCUCUCCUCCUCCUGCAUCGCGCUCCCUCUCCACGCCUCCCCACCUUCCCCUCCCCUGCCCCGCCCAAUUCCCCUACCUCCACAACGGUUCCUCGCUCGGCCGAUCUGCUCCCUCUUCGUGACCCUAGCCUUCGUGCGCGCAAAAUCAGGAAAACGGCAUAGAUGCCUCAACUGCUCCUUGAUGGCUACCGUGAUGACGCCUUCAAAUCUCAGUGCUAUGCCCAUCUCAGGGAUUAUUGGACGCAAACGGCCUCAGCCAAUUCAUCCUCUAGCGACGGUGUUGCAUUGCACACACCAGCCAAUUAAUUUCCUAUCAUCCUGGCCUGCACCAUUUUUUCUGUUCCCAAUUGGAUCAGGUACAUUCUUCUUUUCCCUCAUUCUCCCCUAUUGAGUUUAUUGGUUCACCAAAUUAAAACAUGUGUCUUUUGGAUGAGUUCAUUGGCUGUACUCAUUUUUUCCCAUGUACUGCAAAAAAGAAAUGCCCUAGGUGUUUGUCUAGUCUGCCAGCCAAGAUUUAAUAUCAGGUUCCCCCUCCCUUUAGAUGAAGAUCAUAUACUUUUUUGCUGAUGGAUCUUAUGCUGCAUGCUCUCACCUAAUUAGAAUGUAAAUUUUGGUCACUAAUUUCUAUCUUAAAUCAUAUUUCAGCUAUGGUAUGAUUCAGAAGAGAUUCAUUUUUUUCUUCAGUGACAUUGAUUUCUAGAAAUUCCAGGCUGUACCCCUUAAAUUAGCUUAUUUCUUACCACAAUAUUAUUUAUUUCAAUCAAAUAAUAUAUUACCACUCUUGAAAGAAUUGUGCAACUGAUCCGUAUUUAGGCCCCCUUUGAUUCAAAGGAAAUUUAUAGGAAUUUUAGAGGAUUUUAUUCCUAUAGAAAUUUUUCCUACAAAGCCCUUUGAAUCAAAGGAAUGAACCCUAUGGAAUCCUAUGAAAUUUCUAUGAAAUGCCUCUUUCCAUACAAGUUUUGGAAGAAUUUUAACAAGAGGUAGAAUCUCAUGGAAAAAAAAUCCUUUGAGUCUUUAUCUCUCCUCAAAUUCCUGUGUUUUUCCUGUGGUCCAAACAAACGGUCAUUCCAACGAUUUUCUUGUGUUUUGCAAUCCUCUGUUUUACACUUACAUUCCUGUCAGAAUCCUAUAUUUUUCCUAUUCCUCCGUUUUUUCAUUCUUGUGAUUCAAAGGGGCCCUUAGUUUGAAGCAGAGCACAGUGAACAGUGGCCGUUACACUACACAGCACAUACUACUCAACUUUCAUGAUCACAUUAGAAGGUUAGUAUUUUACUUAUUUUCAACAUUUGUAGUCAAUAGAAUUCAUUUUUCUAUAGCUGAUCAAAUAAGAUUGUGCUUUAUUGGAAAAAAAUACUUUGACAUUCAACCAACUCAUUUUUCUAUGAUCGGUCUAAUAAUAAGAUUAUGGUCUGUUGGAAAAUACUUUGAUCUAUUCGACUAA